GGUAUAUAAGUUGACAAUGUUUAGACGACAAUCACAGCAGGAUAACAGAGUCAAUUGAGUAGAAAUGCGUCGACUAGCGAUAUUUUUAUUUGUCCUCGUGCUGAGCACGGCGGUCCUUUGCGAAGAUCCUCCUAACACAAAGGCACCAGAACACCCGAAGACGUUGGAUCAUCACUCCGUUACGAAUUCCACGAAAAUGCCAGAGCAGCCCAAAAUUCCCGAUGGCAAACCUCUGACUAAUUUUAACGGAAACAAUAAUUAGAAUUAACCACAGCCUAAUUUACGAAAUUACUUUAGUAAUACCUUGAUUUGUAUCUUUUGACAAAAUUAAGGGCCUCUUUCACCGUCUACCGUUAAAGAUAUCUGACAUAUGACGGUAUCCAAGCGACGAAAUUUAUGAUAUGUUUUUGUUUUUCACCACCAAUUUCCACCUUUAUUUAUGGAAUAUUUCUUUUCGCUACCCGUGUAUCUAAAAUGUUUUAUUAAUUAAGGUGAAACCAGCCCUUAAGGCCCAUUUUACUUCCUGCUGUUAACGUAUAUUUCUAACUUAUGUAUAGAAUAAUCUUUAUCCACAAGCGGUUAAACAGGCGUCAAGAAAUAUUUUUAAUAUUUUUUUUUCUUUUGUUUUAAACAUAUGUUGAACGCUUUUUGGCCAGUAAGUUCUCUCUCUUUGUACUUGUCUUUCUGUACAAAAUAAGAAAGAAUUACAAAAUGUAGUACGUAAAUAGGCACUGUGAUAGUGAAGGUCACAAAAACAUACUGAAAGGCUAUAAAAAAUGGACAAUUUUGAUGUACCUCUAGAAGUGUGUAAUUAUUUUUAAAUAGAGCAUAUUAAACUCAGUUGCAGCUGU